UUUUCUUGUAGAUUAUUAUUAUUAUUAUUAUUAUUAUUGAAUUACUAUGCGUGUGUUAACUACUUGUAACACAUAUUUCAAUAAUAUUCUCAUUCACAGUGUAGUGGUUCUUGAGGCUUUGACUGUUUACUUUGAAAUAGCGACAAAAAUAUCUCAUUUCUGCGCCAGUUACUGUUUCUAAUAGUUAACCACAGCAUGUUUAUAAGUUUCACCAUAAUAUUCUGGUGGUACCUGCUCUAAUUGCAUUAAAUUAUGGGCAACAAGUGACGUUAUAGUGGAUGGACGGAUUUAUUUGAUUUAUCUUGUAGUGUUAUCUACAUCGAAAAGUUUAGCCAUAUUUCGACAAAAACAUCACUUUUUGUUAUCAGUGUACACAGAAAUCACUGCUGUCUAUAGCUUGUUUUAGAAAAAAUAAAGCUAGUAUGGGCUAUUUCACGUAAGUUAAACGCAGUUAGAAGGGGGCGGGACACAGCAGACGAAGGCCUUGACUAAAGAAAACAUGGCGGACAGAACUUCAAUUUGCUUCAAACAUGGCGGACCUAUAGCCACUCUAUGAAAUUUUAACUCGUUGGUAACGACGGCAAAUACUGUGGCUACUGUGAUUCGAAGGAAGAGAUCAAAAGACUACAGAAUAGUCUUAAGUGCAUAGGGUAUUCAUACUCGGUAAGGAGCAGCCACCAUCGCCAAAAAUUGCAUGAAACCGCCACCAGUAACCCACGAAUCUUCUUCCAGCAAUUUCAGGGUAAAGUUGAAAUCCCAUUUAUGGGAUAUCCGUUUUCGGUGGAAUAUUCCAGCUACCAACAAUGCACCCUGGGCCCCUAAUAUUACAGUAAAAAGGAGACUGUUGUUCCAAGUCACCUGGCUGACCAUGUUAACCCAGCAAAAAAGAGAUUGUUGAUUAUGGAUACGAAAAAGAGCGAUUGCCCUGCCACUUUUUCAAUUAAAUGUGUUAAAGUGUAUCCAGGCUAUUCUGUUCAAUCAGUAGAUGAUCGUGAAAUUAAAAAGAAAGUUGUCCACAGUUUAAAACAGGCUUUGGAGGCAGCCAAUAAGCCUGAAAGUGUUCUUCGCUUUUAUGUGAGGGCGUCACCACCAGACCACCAUACCCACAGCACAGAAAGCAUAAAAAGCAAGUGGAGACAUACAUCCCUUGCUAGCUGUGGAAAUAGCAAAAGUUGUUGAAGAUGGAACUACAUCUGUGAGAAUAAUAAAGUUGCAUCUUGAAAGAUUUGUGAACAUAACCUUCACUGGACCACACAAGCCAUAUAAUAUGAACACUACAUUUUACCCCAAACAUCUCACAAUAUAUAGUCAUGUAUACAGGGCCCUUAAGAAAUGGAAGAAAAGUGUGUUUGACCAAGAGGCUUUGCAAAUGCAGAUUAAUGAGUGGCAGAAAGAAUAUAGAGGUGACAAUAUUUUUUUCAGACCUUUUUCAGAUGUUGAUGGAGAAAUACAGCCAUUGCUGUUUUGUUACGAGAGUGCAUGGCAGAAGGAUAUGUUAAAAAAAUAUGGAGAUGUAUGUUUGCUUGAUGCCACCUACAAAACAACAAAAUAUGACAUUCCUUUAUUUUUUGUUACAGUAAAGGCAAACAGAUGCUGUUUAGUGGUAGGUUUUUUCUUUAUUCAGGUAGAAGAUACAAGGUCAAUUGCUGAAGCGCUACUUGUUUUCAAGAGGUGGAAUACAGACUUCAACCCAACCUACUGGGUUACUGAUUUCUCAGAGUCCGAGAUAGCAGCAGUUAAAGAAAUAUUUCCAUUUUCAAAAGUGUACUUGUGUUCAUUUCACAGGGAACAGGCUUGGGGGCGAUGAGUUAAAAAGGGAGGGAAUCUAACUGUAGGAACUGAUAAGGAGUCUGUUCUGGAGCUUGUGGCGCUAUGUUGCAGCGUCUCCAUCUGAGGAACAGUUCAGACUCAAUGUUGAAAUGUUAGAGACUCAUGAGGUUUUUCGUAGGAACCCCAAGCCACUUAUUUAUUUUAAAAAUCAAUGGCUCUCAGUUGCUGAAAAGUGGGCGAGAGCUUUCGAGAAUAUUGGCAUAUUUGCCAAUAUUAGAACCACAAACGGUGCUGAAACAAUGAACAAGAAGGUCAAAAAGUCUUUUCUGAACUAUGACACAGACAAAACAUUAACAGGAGUUGUUAAGGUAUUAGUAAAUAGUUUCAUUCCUGGCCUCAUGAAAAAGUAUUGCCAAAUGAAUUCUGUUAUUAGAAAGAACAAUGAAGUUGUACCUGCAUUUUUGCAUGGAAAGACAUAGGAAAAUAUCACACACGUGUGGAAACGAUAUUCUUCUGCAGAAGAAAGCUUCAGUAAAGAGUCGGUGUCAGUAAUAAGUGAGGGUGUUUUUUCCGUGAAAAGCGACACUUCAAAAGAUCUUAGGUAUACUGUAAACUUUGCGGAACCAAGUUGUACAUGUGAAGAUUACCAAAAGCACAAAUAUAUGUGUAAACAUUUUUGUGCCAUCUUUAUUUUCUAUCCUCAAUGGGGUUUUGACAAAGUAAAUGAAAAGGACAGAAAUAGCCCGUUAAUUUGUUUGGAUAGGACAUAUGGGUAUGGUGCAAGUGGCAGCUGUAUUUCACAGACUGAUGCUGCACUGCGUUAAUUAGAUGAGUCCAGCAGUGAUGAUGCUAUGAAUGAAGAGCAUAACAUUCCUGAACCAUCAGCUUCUCCUUCAUCUCUGUUUCGAGAGGCAAGAGAGAGACGUCGGAAUAUUAUAACUCUCACAUACAGUUGUGACAAUGACACGAUAAAAAAGUGUUAGAGGCACUUAAAAAUGUGGAACAUAUUGGAAGGUUGUCGAACCCUACAGAAAAUCGUCUUCCUUUAGCAGCGACAUCAUCUUCAAAAAUGUAGGAACACUCAUUUAAAUGGAGGCAGAAUUUGUGAAACACGUAUUUGCCCUUUUGCUUUUCUGGAUGUUCAUAUAGAUUUAAAAAUGAAAUGGAUUGAUCAGAGUAUGGUGAGUUAAGUGUCUACAGCAAUCACUUACAUUGGGAGAUUUUUCAGUUUUACAUUAAAAUAUGCGGUAGUACAGCAAAUUUAAAACUGGAAGAACUUCCCAACCAAAAUGAAAGUCAUGGUUACACAACUUGCCAUACCCUCAUAAAUACAUUUUACCAUCAAUAGUUAAAGUAGAUACCCAACUGUGUGCUGAUUGUGCUGCUACUGAUACUUUUUUGUUAAAUGGUAUUGGUAGCAUGAAGCAAGACUGGAAGUACCAAAAAGCUCUUCUUUAUUUCUUAUAACAAUAAUAAUAAUUAUUAUUAUUACACUUUAUUACAAACAUUGUCAGAGUUAUUGGAGAAAUACAUAAUAGGUGGUACCAAUGGUCAUUACUGAAGGUUGAUACAAGAGACGUAAAACUCUGAAUGGUUCCUAAAAAGCAGAUCUGAUCAAAUUUUACAGAAAGCUACAUGUAAAUAUACAGGAGUAAAAACUGUCACCACUGUUGGCAUGAGAGUUUCCUUAAUGCUAUAGCUAAGACUUUGUAUGUAGUGUUUGACAAUUCAGUAUGGUACUUUUCCAGUAAUGGGUAAUGAAAAUGUCAUGGCGCCUGUGCAGAAGUGCCUAUUUCAUAUUAGAGUUAGCGACCCAUGUGUGCACCUGUUUAAUGUUAAAAAGUGUUGUUUUUAUAUAUGUUCGAUCAGAAGUUAAACAACAACACUUUUCAUGUAAAACAGAUGGACACGUGUGUAUGUAAUUGUAACAGGAAACAGAUACAUAUGCACAUGUGCCAUGUUCAUUUCCCAUUACUGAAAAAUGACUGACCAUUCUAACUAAAUUUUAUGUAGGAUUUAUGUAAAAAUUAGUAAUGUUUACAGGGCUUUCUUGUCUCUUUUGCAACAAGUGAGGGUUUGGCACUCGUUUAUGUUCCACUACAGUUUCCACACAAAAUACUCAAACUUACUACUUGCACUGAUUCAGUACAAAAGUCAAUUUCUAAAGCAUAUGACACCAUGGCAUUGUUGUAUCUUUCUGUGCAGGCUCAGGGAUAUAUGUUUCAAUGGUAGGAUUUUUCUGGCAGUCUGGAAUGAGGUUAGAGAGAAAACUAUUGCUAAGACCAUAAAUCCAGUAAUGUUUCAACACCAUUUGUGUGUGUGUGUGUGUGUGUGUGUGUGUGUGUGUGUGUGUGUGUGUGUGUGUGUGUGACUACUUCCAGAAGCAGUUCCUCAACCAUUUAGUCUUGUGGAUCUCACACACACACACACACACACACACACACACACACACACAUUGAUAUUCUUUAAUUAUCCUUCAAGAUGCAGCUGGCUAGUAGUACGCAUCGCAACAUAAAAAAUAAUAUAUUCCCCACAGACAAGAAUUAGAUAUGAACCAACAAAAUUUCAUGCAAGGAUAUUGCCAAAAUUUGUGCCCCGUUAAGUUUUAAUGAUUCCGUAACAACAGAUGAUGUAACAUUUCACCACAAGAAGUAAUGCACUCCCAUUUUCUACAGUUAGAUAACCUGGUUCCUAAGACAGAAGUGUCAAGUGCGUCCAAGUGAAAUAAUGUAAAUAGCUUUUUCCAAAAGGGAAAUGCAUCCUUAAUAGUUUUUACCUUCAACUCUAAAAAACUGGCACCCAACCCAUUAACUGUGGAUGACGAUUGUUCCAUCUCUUGGAAAUUUGUAGAACUUCAUAAAUUGGCACUCAUACAGUCAACUUAAAAGGAGGGUCAAGGAAAAGAAAAAUCCAACCACUAAACACCACAUCUUUGCAUUGAGUGUCAGGCAAAACAUAGGAAAGUCAUAUUUUGUAUAUAUCUAGCAAAUUAACUUGAAGUGCUUUGUGUUACUGUUCUGUACUGCAUUGGUAUUGGGAUUCAGACUCAGCAAGGAAAAGGGUCACAUCCAUAGGUUCUGUUUGUGCUCAUUAAUCUGAAUCUGUAUUAAAUUUUCUUCACAUUGCAAAUUGUCUUGUCUGUGAAGUAAAACUUCGUGUGGUCAUGGUGUCACUUGAUUUCUCUAGUGAAGUCAACGGGACUAAGUACAUUCUGUAAGCUUACGUGGAUUUGGUUUAUGUAGCUAAGUGGUACUUACUAUUUAAAAUUUGAUAAUCUUGUAACUGUUAAACACAUAAGAAUUUUUUUGUACUUAUUACUAUAGACUAUUUUUGUGUAAAUAAACUCUUAAAAAACUACAAAUGUAUUUGUUUUUGUAAAUAAAGUGGCAUGUCUCACACCAUAAUAAAUUGUACAGAUGAGCAGUGUAACAUCUGAAAUUUGUGUUUU